AUAAAAAAAAAACUCAUCUUCCUCUUCACGCACGGCUUCUCCUUCCCCAGAAUUUUUCCUCCUGCCUUCAACGAGUCGAGCCUCCCUACUGCCCAGAUCCGCGCGCCUCCCUCACUACCUCUAGAUCCGCCACGCCUCCCUCACUACCUCCCGACCACCGUGCCCCCCUUACUGCCCAGAUCCAUCGCGCUUCCCUCACUGCCUCCCUUCGUCGAACGAGCCAGACUCGCCGCUCCAGCUUUGACCACCGCCAUCGUGCCGAUCUCGCCCAGCCGAUCUGAAUCGUCGCCGUCGCUUCAACCCCUGACGCCGCACAUCGUCGCUGUCUCCCAAUAUCUUGAGCCACUGCCGCCUCUAGCCGGUUUCUUCACCAUCCAUCGCCGCGCUGCCUAUCUUCUGUUGCGUGGGUCUUCGUCGGACUCUUAAUUUUGAUUUGAGCUUGGAAAAUUAUAGCAGCAACUGUCUAGUGGAUUCAAGAUCAUUCGACAAGAGUUUUGGUUUCAAGUUGUCGUCCAUUGGGAUUUAAAAUCUGUUAGAAGGAGAUUUUGGAGUCGAAAUCUUGCGAGUGUUUGUUGAUCAAGUUUCGUUUGGGUAAGUUAAUUGGUGAGCAUUGGAUUCCAUUUGUAUGUUUGGGUCCUGGUUCCAUUACUGAAAUUUAGUAUUAUGUAUGUAUUAGGGGACUCAAUUUAAGACUUAUUUGGUUGGAGAUUAUUAGCUUGGAUUAAUAUCUAAAUUUGACUUUGAGGUAAGUAAUCUUACCACUGGAACUGCCCACGGGCUAGACUUUAGUUGUAUGCUAGCAUGGUGAGUGUAUGUUAUGGUAAACUGUUAGCAUCUUGAUUGAUAAUAUGACCUGAAUGAAAGUAUGUUCUGGCACAAGUACUGAAUUGUUUAAAUACAUACCUAAGCACUUGAUCGUUAGUAUGUGAUGGUAUGUGUUUUCAUAUGUCGACGUCUGAUCUGCUGAUGUUGAGGCAUACUUGUAUGUUGUAGAAUUAUGAUGUAAGGUCUACAUGGAUGUUGUAUAAUAUGUUGUUGAAGAUUAUGUGUAUGUAAUGGAGCCAUGGUACCAAGGAUUUCAUGUAUGUUUUAGAAUUGUACGGUGUUAAUUCUUUGAACGUUGAAACUGUGUGAAUAUCCUCAUUGAUUAGUUAGAUGCUCACCAGUUUUGUGUUUCCCUCGGGAUUCACCAGUUUGUGUUUCCUUCGGGAUUCACCAGUUUUGUGUUUCCUUUGGGAUUCACCAGUUUUGUG